AUGUUCUCAUUCACUGAUGCAGAAAACUUGUUGAGUCUUAUCCUUUUCCCAUUUUUAUAUGACUACCUGUGUACAGAUUUUUACACUCGUUUUGCCUACAGGCUGUGCACAGAAAACCAGCGUUUACUUUGUUUUCUAGAGCACAGCAAGCUCUGACUCACAGCGAGGGGUGCUUUGCAGGUACCAUCUGCACUGUGCUACCAGCACCUUGAGUUUUUCUGCUGUCUUUCAGAAUAAGAAACAGAAACAUGAAGUGAUGCCACUUGGCCAAAGCUACAGAGAAAGGAGGUGGCAGAAUUGUACCUUGACACUUCCCAGGUAUUGUGAUUUUUGUCUCGUGCUCUGCUGUGGAGCCAAAGGUCUUCUAGAGGCUAAUGAUUUGGGGUGAUGCCUUUUAGUUACUUACAGAUAGGCUGUUCUGACAGUGCCAUCAGGCACUUACCUGAGCCUUUGGGUAAUGACACACUCUGUCAAAUCGAGCCUGUGCUGUUCUGU